rnacentral:rRNA from 1 species
GACGAACGCUGGCGGCGUGCUUAACACAUGCAAGUCGAGCGGCGCGGCGAACGGGUGAGUAACGCGUGAGUAACUGCCCCCCUCUCUGGGAUAACAGCUGGAAACGGCUGCUAAUACCGGCUAGUGGGGGGUGUUUCGGGUCUAAUCGGCUUGUGGGUGGGGUAGGGGCCUACCAGGGGGACUAGGGGUAGCCGGCCUGGGCGGGCGAACGGCCACAUGGGGCUGAGGUAGGGACCAAACUCCUACGGGAGGCAGCAGUGGGGAAUAUUGCACAAUGGGGGAAACCCUGAUGCAGCAACGCGCGAGCGGAAUGACGGCUUUCGGGUUGUAAACCGCGUUCAGCCAUGACGCGGUAGUGGCAGAAGAAGCACCGGCUAACUACGUGCCAGCAGCCGCGGUAAUUC